rnacentral:rRNA from 1 species
GUCGAGCGGUAAGGCCCUUUCGGGGGUACACGAGCGGCGAACGGGUGAGUAACACGUGAGCAACCUACCCUUCACUUCGGGAUAAGCCUCGGAAACGGGGUCUAAUACCGGAUAUCACUGACUGCUUCAUGGUGGUUGGUUGAAAGUUCUGGCGGUGGGGGAUGGGCUCGCGGCCUAUCAGCUUGUUGGUGGGGUAAUGGCCUACCAAGGCGUCGACGGGUAGCCGGCCUGAGAGGGCGACCGGCCACACUGGGACUGAGACACGGCCCAGACUCCUACGGGAGGCAGCAGUGGGGAAUAUUGCGCAAUGGACGAAAGUCUGACGCAGCAACGCCGCGUGAGGGAUGACGGCCUUCGGGUUGUAAACCUCUUUCACCCACGACGAAGCGAGAGUGACGGUAGUGGGAGAAGAAGGACCGGCCAACUACGUGCCAGCAGCCGCGGUAAUACGUAGGGUCCGAGCGUUGUCCGGAAUUAUUGGGCGUAAAGGGCUCGUAGGCGGUUCGUCACGUCGGGAGUGAAAACUCGGAGCUCAACUCCGAGCCUGCUUCCGAUACGGGCAGACUAGAGGUAGGCAGGGGAGAGCGGAACUCCUAGUGUAGCGGUGGAAUGCGCAGAUAUUAGGAAGAACACCGGUGGCGAAGGCGGCUCUCUGGGCCUUACCUGACGCUGAGGAGCGAAAGCGUGGGUAGCGAACAGGAUUAGAUACCCUGGUAGUCCACGCCGUAAACGUUGGGCGCUAGGUGUGGGGGACAUUCCACGUCCUCCGUGCCGCAGCUAACGCAUUAAGCGCCCCGCCUGGGGAGUACGGCCGCAAGGCUAAAACUCAAAGAAAUUGACGGGGGCCCGCACAAGCGGCGGAGCAUGCGGAUUAAUUCGAUGCAACGCGAAGACCUUACCUGGUUUGGACAUAUAGG